AUGGUUAGUCAGCCUCUUCUAUUUACAUAUACAGUGUGUGUGUGUGUGUGUGUGUGUGUGUGUGUGUGUGUGUGUCAGGAGGAGGGAGGAGGAGAAGCAGCAAGCAGGAGGCUUGUUGUUGCGCCUUUCAUGGGUAGUCACAGUCAGCCUCUGCUAUACAUAUGUACUAGCUGUGCCUGGCCACGCGUUGCUGUGGCGAAGUAUGGUGGUAUGGGAAAUAAAGUAUCUUAUAUUAUCUGCUUAGAACUGGAUUAUAUGAGGCCCCUCCUACACAGCUGUAUAAAAUGUACACUGAAGUGGAUUAUAUGGCAGUGUGUAAUCAAGAUAAUCCAGUUCAAAGCAGAUAAUAUAGGAUUAUAAAUGGGUUAUAUAGCUGUGUGGAAGGGCCUUGAGUCUGCACUGCGAUAUAAUCCAGUUAAAAUCAGAUAAUAUGUAUUUUAUAAGCAGUGUGGAAGAGGCCUAAGUAAGGCCUAACUCUGCCUGUCCAUGGGCUGAGUGGGUUGCUAGGAGACCAAGUGGGCAGAGCUUAGCCUUCUAACUGGCACCAAUUGGCUAAAAACAAUUAUUCCUCUCUUUCUAAUUAGGACUUUAUUUUUCUUUUCUUUUUGUUGUAUGAACGUAGAGGCAUGGAUGAAGGGUUGUGCUGCCAAGUUUAGUGUUUCUGGGAUGUGUAGUUUUGUUGUUUUGUCCUAGGCCGAAAUUUCAUUAUCCUUUUAUAUAUAUACUAGCUGUGCCCGGCCACGUGUUGCUGUGGCAUUGUCUGGUGGUGUUGGUGAGAAAUUGUUGAGGUAGUAGUGGUAUUGAAUGUGUGUUGUAUGGUUGUCUUUAUGUUUAGUAUGCACACUGAAGUGGAUUAUACGGCAAUGUGGAGUCAAGAUAAUCCAGUUCAAAGCAGAUAAUAUAAGAUUCUAAAUGGGUUAUAUAGCUGUGUGGAAGAGCCUUGAGUCUACACUGCCAUAUAAUCCAGUUAAAAUCUGAUAACCUGUGGAAGAGGCCUAAAUGAGGCCUAACUGUGCCUGUCCCCUGGGCUGAAGAGGUCGCUAGGAGACCAAGUGGGCGGAGCUUAACCUUCAAACUGGCAGCAAUUGGAUAAAAACAAUUAUUCCUCUCCCUCUAAUUAGGACUUUAUUUUUCUUUUCUUUUUGUUGUAUCAACCUAGAGGCAUGGAUGAGGGGUUGUGAUGUCAAUUUUCGAGGUUGUGGGCUGUUUACUUUUGUUGUUUUGUCCGCUGCCGUGAUGCCAUAUAUAUAUAUAUAUAGAGAGAGAGAGAGAGAGAGAGAGAGAGCGAGAGCGAGCCCCGGUGGUGAAGUGUGUUAAAGCGCUGAGCUGCUGAACUUGCAGACCGAAAUAAUGUUAUGUUGUAAUUACUGUAUUGAUACAUUUAGCACCAAAAUAUCAGGAUAUAUUGAAAACACUGAUUACAAAAAUGCCAAAACCUUGGAUAAAACCCCUGCCCUUGGUUGACUUCCCAGGGCAUUUCAGCCUCUCUGGGCAGCUCGCUGAUCUAUUGUUUCUCGCCGGGAUGCCUGAGAGCGGGCUUGGCUAAGGAAGCUAAGGCUUGGCUAAGCUCGGGCGCCUCCUCCUCUUCUUCUUCCUCCUCCUCUUGCUUUUUCGGGCGGCGGAGGAGGCGGGCGGGGAGGCGAGGCGGCGCCGGACCCGCGGCCCUUGGCCCCUUCCUUUUCGGGGGCGGGAUCCUCUCUCUCUCUCUCUCUCUCUCUUUCUGGAGGGGCAACGAGAGAGAGAGCGAGAGAGAGCCUCCCGCCCCUUUGGCUCGCCUUCCCCGCUUCGCCUGCCUCCGCUUUGCUCGGCUUUGCUCCGCUCCCGAGGCGUCCCGGCUCCUUUUCUGCAGAACAGAAGGAAGGAUUUACCGUACCCACCAUGGAGCGACGAAACGGCCGUGGAUUGUUGCUUUGAGACGCCCCGGUUUGGGAUUGUUGUGGGUUUUUUCAUUGUUCCCGCGGAGCUCCUUCUUCCCUUCCUUCGGGCUGGCGGACCUCCGAUGAGGUAAGGCAAGAGCGGCGGUUCUUUCUCGCCCGAAGGGAGAGGAUGCCUUCCUCGAGGAAGGGGAAAUAAUGCCAUUGACAUUAAAUAGCCUUGCAGCGUCGAAGCCUGACUGCAAGUAUGCCAUGAGGCACGUAUCCAGAUCGUUGGGAUCCUAUGGCAGUGUAGAUGAGACCCCCAAGGAUCAGAGGCAAGUAGGCUCCAAGGUUUUAGAGGCUGCUUUCCGAGCCUUUCUGGCUCCGACCCGCUGCAAGUAUGCCAUGAUGCAUAUCUUUGGGAUUCUAUGGCAGUGUAGGUGAGACCCCCAAGGAUCAGAGGCAAGUAGGCUCCAAGGUUUAGAGGCUGCUUUCCGAGCCUUUCUGGCUCCGAGAUGCUU
rnacentral:lncRNA from 1 species